rnacentral:rRNA from 1 species
GUACACUCCUGCGGGAGGCAGCAGUGGGGAAUAUUGGACAAUGGGCGCAAGCCUGAUCCAGCCAUGCCGCGUGAGUGAUGAAGGCCCUAGGGUUGUAAAGCUCUUUCACCGGUGAAGAUAAUGACGGUAACCGGAGAAGAAGCCCCGGCUAACUUCGUGCCAACAGCCGCGGUAAUACGAAGGGGGCUAGCGUUGUUCGGAUUUACUGGGCGUAAAGCGCACGUAGGCGGACUAUUAAGUCAGGGGUGAAAUCCCGGGGCUCAACCCCGGAACUGCCUUUGAUACUGGUAGUCUUGAGUUCGAGAGAGGUGAGUGGAAUUCCGAGUGUAGAGGUGAAAUUCGUAGAUAUUCGGAGGAACACCAGUGGCGAAGGCGGCUCACUGGCUCGAUACUGACGCUGAGGUGCGAAAGCGUGGGGAGCAAACAGGAUUAGAAACCCGGGUAGUCCCA